rnacentral:lncRNA from 1 species
ACUCGUGAAUUCGAACAAUCCCGAUGAUCCAGGUGAUUUUCUUUAUAGUCUUUUACGCUACACUUCGUCUGUAGGCGAUGAGGCACUGCAGAGUGCCUGUCGUGGAGUUGAAAGGGUGCAGUUAGUAUGCCGAGGUUGUGGAAAACACAGGAUGUUGUCUUCACAGUUUUAAACCUGCCAAGUAGAGAAAAAUGUCUUCAAACGGUGGAAAAUAUGCUGCUAAACUACUUCGAGCUGGAAGAUAAGGAACUUAAAUCUUCAUUUUGUGUCUGUGAAGAAAAAGAGAAAGAUAUCGUAGAAUUGCGACAGCCAAUGAAACUACCAUCAAGUCUAAUUUGCAACAUCCUCCCAGUAACAAAGAAUGAGGAAAAACAGCAUGUUCGCCUUAAGUUACAGGAAUUAAUUGGCGUUCACGACCUGUUGGGACGAAGACAUACAUACAAACUUUCAGCUUUUAUAACACACUAUGGAAUUGAUGCAAAACAGCAAAAG